rnacentral:rRNA from 1 species
UGCAGAAGCGGGGAUAAAACUACUAGACGAGAAGACCCUAUGGAGCUUUAGAAAAAAAACGACUUAUUUCAAACCAACUGAAAACAAACACCCCAGUUUCUACACCUCGUUUUUAUCUUUGGUUGGGGCGACCGUGGAGAAAUAAACAACCCCCAUGAAGAAAAAGACAACUUUGUCUUAAAGCCAAGAGCCACAGCUCUAAGCAUCAAAAAAUUUGACUAAAAGAUCCGGCUAAAUUAACUUGCCGAUCAACGGACCGAGUUACCCUAGGGAUAACAGCGCAAUCCUCUCCCAGAGCCCCUAUCGACGAGAGGGUUUACGACCUCGAUGUUGGAUCAGGACAUCCUAAUGGUGCAGCCGCUAUUAAGGGUUCGUUUGUUCAACGAUUAACAGUCCU